UACGUAGGGGGCUAGCGUUGUCCGGAAUCAUUGGGCGUAAAGCGCGUGUAGGCGGUCCGGUAAGUCCGCUGUGAAAGUCGGGGGCUCAACCCUCGGAUGCCGGUGGAUACUGUCGGGCUUGAGUACGGAAGAGGCGAGUGGAAUUCCUGGUGUAGCGGUGAAAUGCGCAGAUAUCAGGAGGAACACCGAUGGCGAAGGCAGCUCGCUGGGACGGUACUGACGCUGAGACGCGAAAGCGUGGGGAGCAAACAGG
rnacentral:rRNA from 1 species